UUAAAUUGCAGUUUCAAUGUAGAUGUGCCAUAUGUUAUUGUAUAUAGACAAAACCUAUAGCUAACAUGCAGUCAGCAUGCAUGCAGUUAUUGCUAGGUUGCUUUAUAUAUCUGCGUUUUAUGGUCAAAACUAUUACGUGCAUAAACUGUUACUUAUAAAUAAAAAUAACUGUGGACAUUGCCAUAAUUAUAGCUAUAUAUUCACAGUCACUUACUGUUCUAGACUUUGGCGACACUAGUUGCAUAUCCAUUGUAUCACAUGAUUUAAAUUCAAACUAUACAUAUUGUAAUUAUAUAUAUCUAAUUGUAUAAUUGUAAUAGUCCUCGGUAUCAAAAUGGGUGAACAAGAAAGGCUAUCCACAAGCUCUGGAAGAGUCUAUAGCAAAGAACGGUCGUCCCCAGAGGCAGCUGUGUGGUACUGUCUGAACAACUACUGCUAUGACAAUGCUGUGUUACCGGCUGAGAGACUGCAUACUGAAGCCAAUUCUCGAAGGCCGCGGUGUGCUUGAUCAUUAUCAUCAGAACAGUGUCCUGUCUUGCAGAAGAUGCAAAAUAUCUCACAGUUGUUUUCUAAAAGGUUACAUUCAUCCCACUCCUCCGGAUGUUCAGCAUAGUGCUUAGCAGUGGCUACUACUUGGUGGGCUGGUAAGCUAUAGCUUGUAUGUGUUGACGUUCCUGCCUGUGCUUGGCCAUCACUAACUCUGUACACAACCAAUCGCAACGAAGCUCCAUCCAGAAACUGAUCAAGAGACGAUCGAGUUAUCUUUGCUGUAAAUUUUGUUUUCUGCUCCUUCUGGCCAGUAAAGUGAAUUACAAUCGGUGUUCCAGCAGUAGUGCCCACGUAGAUACCAUGGUGCUGGUAUAUAGAAGCCAAACAAUAUGUAUAGGCAUAGAUAUGAUCCCCUACUUUCAAGUCUUUUUCCUGAAUCGAAUGAAACUGGCAACCAACUCUGUAUUGUGAAUCAUCAGUAGGAAAAUUGUGGACACUUGAUCUGUCUUCCAUUGCUCUGACGUUUUUGCUAGACAUAAUAAUUAUAGCUAAGGUUAAUGUUUCAACCUAAACUGUUCAUUAAUUUUGCUCAUUACUCAUGCAGAAUGUGAACAUCUGUAAACAUUGUUUUCUCUGCUGAUCAUUAACAUAAAAUUAUGUCUGUUCUACACAUGUACUAUUAACGUACAUAUGUACAUAAUACAUAUCGGAAAGUGGUGGACAUGCGAGGGCACUUCCCUGGGACAGUCCCCACUAUGUCAAACAACAUGUCAGUUUAACCCGAAUUAGUAA